UACGUAGGGGGCAAGCGUUGUCCGGAAUCAUUGGGCGUAAAGCGUGUGUAGGCGGCCGCGUCAGUCCUCCGUUAAAACCCUGGGCUCAACCCAGGACCGGCGGGGGAGACGUCGCGGUUCGAGGGCUGGAGAGGUGCACGGAACUCUCGGUGUAGGGGUGAAAUCCGUUGAUAUCGAGGGGAACACCAAAUGCGAAGGCAGUGCACUGGCCAGCUCCUGACGCUCAGACACGAAAGCGUGGGUCG
rnacentral:rRNA from 1 species